rnacentral:misc_RNA from 1 species
UACGUAGGGCGCAAGCGUUGUCCGGAAUUAUUGGGCGUAAAGAGCUCGUAGGCGGCUUGUCGCGUCUGCUGUGAAAACUCGGGGCUUAACCCUGAGCUUGCAGUGGGUACAGGCAGGCUAGAGUGCGGUAGGGGAGACUGGAAUUCCUGGUGUAGCGGUGGAAUGCGCAGAUAUCAGGAGGAACACCGGUGGCGAAGGCGGGUCUCUGGGCCGUUACUGACGCUGAGGAGCGAAAGCAUGGGGAGCGAACAGG